rnacentral:lncRNA from 1 species
ACAAGGUUCUACCUGUCCAUGGGAUGAGAGGAAAGUUUCUCCACUGGAUCCUAGGGAAGGAGACGCCCCAUGAUGCAGGCUACCCCAUGUUCGACAUCAUACGUAUCGUGAACUUUGUCAGUGACCAGGAUGCCAUCACGUACUGGUGCCGAAACCACUCACUUACCAGGAAAGCGAUCCACCCGUUUGGCUAUAGCCCUCAUGAAAACAUCUACCCUAGGACUGCGUAAGGGCCCCUGAAGCAGAAGCUCUGCGAAUGCCAGCAGGAAGAAAAUCAUGGUUUUGUUAGGGAG